GAACAGUACCAAUAACAACAGCAGUAAGAGCAGUCUUUAAUGUUGGGACCAGAUGAGUACAAGGCAGCACUACAGGUGAUCAGACGGUCAGCAUUACUGUCAGACACACACAGAACCUGCUGGAGCACAGAGAGGAGGCUGAUGGUGAAACCAGAGUUUUAUAAAGGUCACAGGUCUACAGGUCUGGCUUAAAAAUCCUUCUAAUCUGACCCUGAGAAGAGAAGUUCUGACUUUGAGAGAGAGGAGGGGGCACUGCGUCUAAAACAAGUCUUUCUGGGGAACUUGACAUGGACACCAAAGCUAGGAGCCCAAUCCAGCAGGAGACACCAGCCUGUGGUAGGUCUAUGGGUGUACCUAUCAAUUUCAGUGCUGCAGGAGGACCUUAUACUGUAAUGAGCCUUUUUGACCUGCCUUGGACCUUGUUUGCCGCUGGAUGCCUCUACGUGUACCAAACUCUGCCUGGCCUUAUGUUUUGUCUUUUGCCAGCUCCUUUUUGUCCGAGUAAUAAAAGUGUGCGUUCUGCGCUUGUAGUCUCAUAGAGACUGCAGUAGUCCCAGGGGCGUUAUUAGACAUAAAGCUCUACUGGGGCACAGGCCCCUAUUCAUAUCCCUUUUUUUCUCCCAAGCUUGCUGCGCACAAUCCACUACUCGGCUAUAGAAACUCCCCUUGCUUAACCCAUAGUUCUGGACGCAAGUUUGAUAUCAACUUUGGCUGGGACAUCAAUAGUUAAUACCAGCACGCACAUUUUUUUCCGCAUUGAUUUGAGCGCAAAUACUGUUUUUUGAGCUUCAUGUAAUAUUGUUUUUAUGUUUUAGUCAAAAUAAGAUGAUCAGUAGGCCUAUCAUUUAAAAACUUUCUUUAGUUUUGUAAAGUUUUCUUAGCCUGCCUCAAUUCUGACUUGUGUGCCAUACUUUUAUGUGCGUGCUGCAGUAGCUAUUUGGCAACUGCGGGCAUCGGUUUGUGUUUUCGGUUAAACUGCUUUGAUUUUACAAGCAAUGAUUGGGAUACGGCAUACAUUCUUUACGGGAUUAUUAAUCUAAAUGAAUGCACUGAAUAAUAUAUUGUUAAAACUCAAACUUUCGAUUUUACUGGGGCACAGCAGAUUUAUACUGGGGUGCGUGCCCUAGUAAAAAGGGUCUAACAACGCCCCUGAGUAGUCCUCAGUCUCCACAGAGUAUUUGUUACAGAAUACCUCACCUUACUACCACAAGAUGGAUGCAGCGGAGCUAUACACAACAGGAAGAACGAAUUGAGGAACUCCUACAAAACCCUGCGACAACCUCGUCUCCGCUAAGUACUCUGGCACCUUCCUUUAAUACAUACUGUCACCUGGAGGGGUUGGUAUGGACGACGGGAAGAUCUCGGCCGUACGUGACUGGACUUAACCCCCGAAGCAUCAAGAGGUGCAAUGGUUCUUGGGGGUUUGCUAACUAUUAUUGGCGUUUCAUACGCAGUUUCAGUUCCCUCAAUUGUGUAACCGGUGUAACUUCUGUGUUCUGUAAUAAAUGUGACCCGUGGACAACUGUU